rnacentral:tRNA from 1 species
GGGCGGUUAGCUCAGUGGUAGAGCGUUUCGUUGACAUCGAAAAGGUCAGAGGUUCGAUCCCUCUACCGCCCACAA